UUGGGGGAGUUCAACAACCUGGACGUCCUGCUGAGAUCCUGUGGACACUUCCCUUGCUGCUGAAGCCUAAGACUGUCAGUUCAGAAACUGGGGACGCCAGGGAGGCCUUCAGUGAUGGGGAUACGACGUCUGAGGAAAAGUACAAGAUGAAGAAUAGUCUCUCUGGAACGUGAGGAACAGGAUGGAAAAGGCCACAGACACGCCAAGGUGAAACACAGAACUUUGUGAUAAUAUGGAGACAAACCAUGAAACUGUUUUGCAUGACAGAGUCUCGGCAGUUACCCUCAUCACUCACCUGUUGAACCAUUCAUUCUUCAGGAAUAUAUUGAUUGAAUUCAUGACCUUCG